ensembl:lncRNA
CGGAAAUAACCACCAGAGAGUCAGAAACAUACGGCUGAAAAUUAGGUGACAGACCAAGAACAACAACGGAAAUAACGGAAAUAACGGAAAAAACAGAAAUAGCGGAAAUAACCUCCAGAGAGACAGAAACGUACAGCAGAAUAUUAAGUGACAGGCCAAGAACAACAAUGGAAAUAACGGAAAUAACGGAAAUAAUGGAAAUAACGGAAAUAAACUCCACAGAGACAGAAACAUACUGCAGAAAAUUAAGUGACAGGUCAAGAACAACAACGGAAAUAACGAAAAUAUCGAUCAGAAUGGAAACAACAGAAAUAACGGAAAUAACGGAAAUAACGGAAAAAACUUCCACAGGGACAGAAACAUACGGCAGAAAAUUAGGUGACAGGUCAAGAACAACAACGGAAAUAACGGAAAUAUCGAACAGAACGGAAACAACAGAAAUAACGGAAAUAACUUUUAGAGAGACAGAAACAUAUGGCAGAAAAUUUAGUGACAGGUCAAGAACAACAACGGAAAUAACGGAAAUUAUGGAAAGAACAAAAAUAACCUCCAGAGAGACAGAAACAUACGGCAGAAAAUUAGGUGACAGGUCAAGAACAACAACGGAAAUAACGGAAAGAACGGAAAGAACGGAAAGAACGGAAAUAAGGGAAAUAACCUCCAGAGAGACAGAAACAUAUGGCGGAAAAGUAGGUGACAGGUCAAGAACAACAACGGAAAGAACAUUAAGAACGGAAAGAACCUCCAGAUAGACAGAAAAAGACGGCAAAAAAUUAGGUUACAGGUCAAGAACAGCAACGGAAAUAACAGAAAAAAACGAAAUAAUGGAAAUAAUAAUGGAAUUUAAACGGAAAUAACGGAAAUAAUUACGAAAAUAAAGGAAAUAAUGUCGGAAAUAACGGAAAUAAUAACGGAAAUAAUAACGAAAAUAACGGAAAGAAUAAGGGAAAGAACGGAAAUAAAAACGGAAAGAACGGAGAGAACCUCAGGAGAGACAGAAACAUACAGCAGAAAAUGAAGUGACAGGUCAAGAAUAACAAUGGAAAUAAUGGAAAUAACAAAAAUAAUGGAAAUAACGGAAAUAACGGAAAUAACCUCCACAGAGACAGAAACAUACGGCAUAAAAUUACGUGACAGGUCAAGAACAACAACGGAAAUAACGGAAAGAACGGAAAGAACCACCAGAGAGACAGAAACAGACGGCAGAAAACUAGGUGACAGGUCAAGAACAACAACAGAAAUAAUGGAAUUAAUGGAAAUAACGGAAAUAGCGGAAAUAAAAAUGGACAUAACGGAAAUAAUAACGGAAAUAACGGAAAUAAUAACAGAAAUAACGGAAAUAACGGAAAUAACGGAAAUAACUGAAAUAAUCUCCACAAAGUUGGAAACAUACGGCAGAAAAUUCCGUGAAAGGUCAAGAACAACAAAGGAAAUAAUAACGGAAAGAUCGGAGAGAACCUCCGGAGAGACAGAAACAAACGGCAGAAAAUUAGGUGACAGGUCAAGAACAACAACGGAAAUAAUGGAAAUAAUGGAAAUAACGAAAUAACGGAAAGAACGGAGAGAACCACCAGAGAGACAGAAACAUAGGGCAGAAAAUUAGGUGACAGGUCAAGAACAACAACGGAAAUAACGGAAAUAAAGGAAAUAACGGAAAUAACCUCCUUUGAGACAGAAACAAACAUCAGAAAAUUACGUGACAGGUCAAGAACAACAUUGGAAACAACGGAAACAACAGAAACUACAAAAACAACGGAAACAAGGGAAACAACUGAAACAACAGAAACAACGGAACCAACGGAAACAACGGAUAACAACGGAAAAACAGAAACAAGGGAAACAACCUCCACAGAGACAGAA